GUCAAGUCAUCAUGGCCCUUACGACCAGGGCUACACACGUGCUACAAUGGCGCAUACAAAGAGAAGCGACCUCGCGAGAGCAAGCGGACCUCAUAAAGUGCGUCGUAGUCCGGAUUGGAGUCUGCAACUCGACUCCAUGAAGUCGGAAUCGCUAGUAAUCGUGGAUCAGAAUGCCACGGUGAAUACGUUCCCGGGCCUUGUACACACCGCCCGUCACACCAUGGGAGUGGGUUGCAAAAGAAGUAGGUAGCUUAACCUUCGGGAGGGCGCUUACCACUUUGUGAUUCAUGACUGGGGUGAAGUCGUAACAAGGUAACCGUAGGGGAACCUGCGGUUGGAUCAC
rnacentral:rRNA from 1 species